ACGGACGAGAAAUGGGCCCUCCCACUCUCUCUCUCUCUCUCGCUCUCACACACACAAACACACACAUACAGGGGAGAGAAGACGUAAAAUAUCAAGUGGACAAGCGGAAACACACGCAGAGUGAUGUCAGAGUCUCGAGUCCACCAUUCCUCUGUCUCCUCCAUCUCCUCCAUCUCCUCAAUCUCUUUGGUUGAGAUCAAGGCUGAGACUCAUCUAGUCCUCCAGGCAUUUCUCCAACGGACCCUUUCUACCCCAAUGAAAGAGAGACCUGGUAGAGUAGGGGGUGCUUACAGCCAGCACAACAAGUACAGCUCCACAUCACAACCAAAAGCAAAAGAUGGGUGUGAUUCUCAAGCUGAAUAUGUCGGCUCAGCAGAUGCGAAGAAGACUGGAUUCAAAGACUUCAUUAAGCAGUUGCCACUUCGCAACAACACAAAACGCUCGGGUAAAGAUCCUAAAAGCUCACUGGAAAGGGAGAGCACUGCAAAAUGUUCCCACAUCAGAGACCAAGCAGAGGAUGAUCUUGUUAUCCUGACCUCUACAUCAGAAGAUGAUGAAAGUGAGAAGAAACAGCAGAAGAAGCUGGAGCAAACGAAGAUUAGAAAAAAGAUUUCAAAGUUCCUCAGGUUAAAGUUGGAGAGAGAAGUCAAAGAGGGGCAUGAAACCUGUCCAAAUAAGCCUACCACGCCAGUCCACCAAGGUCUAGAACCAAACCCACCCAUAAUCUCUCCCAACCACCAUCCUGAGUUCUAUAAUGUGGUAGCAGAGAAGCUGGAAAAGAUUGCACAGAGGUCCACCAGUAUAAAGAAACAGAGUUCUACAGCCCAGCUUUCACAAGAAGUGUGUGACAAAGAGGCAGCUGUGCAGCAGCUUGUGAAGGUGCUCUGUUCGGAGGGAGAUUCUAUCAACACUAAGAUCCAGUCAGACCCUUUCCUGCGCUCCAGCUUUGCUCGUCUUUCUUAUGCAUCAUUUGCCAAGCUUCUAGACACUGUGAGUCAGGUAUCUGAGGCCUCGCCAUCUGCUAGUCCAACACUGCAACGCAUGGCUGUCACCAUGGAGGUAUCACGGCGGAUAGUGACAGCCACUGGAACAAUGCGCAUGCAGGGCUAUGCAGAAUGCUACAUGGAGACCUUUGCACCCUGGGUAAAGAGUCAUGGAGGAUGGGAGAAUGUAGAUUUGGAGGAGCCUGAGGAAUAUGACUGAGUUCCAAAUCCAAAAGUGUUUUUUCCGACUAACCCCUGGUCAACACUGAAUUCUGGAUCAUCACAUCAAAGACUGUCCAAGAAACUGGUCAAGAACAGAACAAAGAAUGUGAGAAGCUGAAGAAGUGGCCUCGCAGCAUAAAAAAACGUAUCUACCGGACAGCCGCUACGUCAACAUCAGGGCCAGAGAGAGUGGUAAAGUGGACCUCCAUCCUUAACCAUGUCCAAGACAUUCACUCCUAUGAAGACCCUGUUUUCCCCCAGUGUUUGCAUCCGCAACACACUUCAAGGGACAAAAGCAAAUGGUUGACAGCAGGGUACAGACCCCGAACAACAAGAAUCAAGAAAGAACAAUUUCUUCAAAAUAAAGCCAAACUACAAAGUGCUAUAAAUAAGUGCCAUUUAAGUUCUACUAAAUUGUUAGUUUCAAAAAGUUGUUAGUAUAUAUAUUUUUUUUUUUAUUCAAGUAUAGUCGGAAGAGGUAUGUUUUUUGUUUUCCGCGGAAGAUGUGUAAACUUUCCGAUGUCCGGAUGUCGAUGGGGAGCUCAUUCCAUUUAGGAACCAGGACAGCAAAGAGUCGUGAUUUUGAUGAGUGUUUAGCUCGCAGUGAGGGAUCAACGAGCCGAUUAUCCGAAGCAGAGCGGAGUAAACGUGCUGGGGUGUAACGUUUGACCAUGUCCUGGAUGUAGACUGGAACCUGAUCCGUUUACAGCAUGGUACGCAAGUACUGGUGUUUUGAACCGGAUGCGGGGAGCCACUGGUAGCCAGUGAAGGUAGCCAGUGAAGGGAGCGGAGGAGUGGAGUAGUGUGAGUGAAUUAAGGUUGGUUAAAAACCAGUCGAGCUGCUGCAUUCUGGAUGAGCUGCAAUGGUCGGAUGGCAGUAGCAGUAAGACCUGCCAGGUGGGAGUUACAGUAGUCUAGAUGUGAGAUGACAAGAGCCUGGACCAGAACCUGCACCGCCUUCUGAGUGAGAAGGGGGCGUAUUCUCCUGAUGUUGUACAGCAUGAAUCUACAGGAACGUGUUGUUGCAUUAAUGUUGGCAGUAAGGGAGAGUUGGCUAUCAUGUGUCACACCCAGGCAGAGGUGUAUAGUAACGAAGUAGAUGUACUUCGUUACACUACUUAAGUAUUUUUUUUGAGGAUUUGUACUUUACUUGAGUUUUUUUUUUUAUCAGGACUUUUACUUUUACUUCACUACAUUUUUAAGUUAAAAAAUAUACUUUUACUUCGUUACUUUGACAUUUGCCACCUCGUUACUCGUUACAUACAUACAUUAAAAUAGUCUCUGCAUGAGAUUCCGAGAGGACGAGAAGAACCACGUACGGUACUCUCGCGAAGAAGGUAUAAAUACGGGAUGCGCGGGCGGCAGAGAGAUCACUACAAACAUGGCAGCCGCAGAGCAUGUGGAUGAGGGAGACACAGAAGACGACGCACGGCGUUCAACAGAAGUCGACGACGGACACCCGUGGUCAUACCUGGAAAGUAUGUUCAGCUACCUCUGGAUGGAGGCAAAUUCCUACCGAAUGAAGUGCAUGUUAUGCCUUCCGAAGCGCCACGAAAUAAAGGCCUUCAAAAACUCCCCGUCCAACCUCAAAAAACACAUCGAAAGAGCACAUCCACAACAUCUAAAGAAAUAUGAGCAGCUGACCUCACAAAAAAGAAAGAGGGCUUCGGAAGCUGGGACCUCCACCCUCAAACAGACCACGUUGCUGGCUACCCGAUCCAUAUCUCAGAGUGCUGUUGACAGGGCCAUUGUUAAGUAUGUUGUCAACAAUCUCCAGCCAUUGUCAACUGUCGAGAAUGAAGCCUUCAGAGAGCUUCUCACAGAUCUUCUUCCUACUGCCAAAGUCAUCACACGGGUCACCCUGCGAUCAAGGAUUGAAGAUUUAGCAAAGUCUAUGAAAAACGUGUUAACUGAGGAGAUGAGUAAAGUGGACCACAUCGCCACCACUACAGACUGCUGGUCAGUUAGGAGAAGGAGCUUCCUUGGUGUGACUGCUCAUUGGGUGAACUCUACAGACCUAACUAGACGAUCAGCAGCCCUAGCUUGCAGACAGCUAAGAGGUUCCCACACCUUUGAUGUUUUGGCCACCGCACUCAAUGACAUCCAUACUGAAUAUGGCAUCAGGAACAAAGUUGUGAGGACAACAACCGAUAAUGGCUCCAACUUCCUGAAGGCUUUUCAAGUUUUUAGUGUGGACAAAAACAAUAAUGAAGCAGAAGAGAAAGAGGAUGAGGAAGGGAAUGAGAUGGAGGGAGUGGAAUUUGUUGACAUGACUUCAAUCCUUGUUGAGAAUGAUGGCUUUGAGUUUGAGCUUCCGAAACAUCAACGAUGUGCUUGUCAUCUGCUCAACUUAGUGUCUACAGUUGAUGCUGAAAAAGCAACAGCCAACGAUGGAUACAAAAAACUGCAACGCUCAACAUUCAGCAAGUGUUAUGGGCUGUGGAAUAAGUGUGGAAGAUCCUGCCAAGCAGCUGAAGCUGUGGAAGAUGCCUGCUCCCUCCAGCUGCUAUGACCAAACGCCACCAGGUGGAACUCAAUGUUUAUGGCUGUGGAAAGGCUCCUCAAGAUUCUGAGAGAGAAGGGAGAGCCAGCUUUGAGAGAGAUCUGUGCAGAAUUGAAGGUUUCAUCCAGUUGAGCUCACUUUCCUAAAAGAGUACUACACCACCAUGAGCCCUGUUGCCCAGUCCAUCAACAUCCUCCAAGGAGAAGUGGAAGUCCAGAUGGGAUGGCUUCUUCCGACUAUUUCCUUGCUGAGCAGCAAACUGGAAAAAAUAAAGAUUGCACUGAAGCACUGCAAGCCGCUGGUUGAAGCCAUUCAAGUGGGCAUCCAGAACUGUUUUGGUGAAAUGUCAAGAGACCCUGAAUUGGUUGCUGCAGCGAUUCUCAUCCCAAAAUUCAAAACGGCCUGGAUCAAAGAUGAUGCUACACUGAAAAUCGGGUUGGACUACAUCAGGGAGCAGUUGGAGGAUCCUUCUAUUUCAGCAGAGGCUGGAUCUGGCUCAUCUGAUGAGGGAGACUUCUUCCACAUCCUGAAAAGUUCCCACAAAACACCAAGCGCCACCAAGCAGCUUGAUUCGUAUCUGGCCUACUCAAAAGACGACAUCAAGAUUCUCAAGACGUUUCCUGUGGUUCUCAAGUUGUCUGUCAAACUCAACACACCUCUGCCUGCUUCUGCAGCUUGCGAAAGGCUGUUCAGCAUAGCAGGUCUCAUCUUCAGCCCAAAAAGAGCACGGCUAGCUGCAGACACUUUUGAAAAUCAGCUUCUGCUGAGGAUGAACCGCAAGUUCAACUUCUCCACUUGAACCAGAAAGUUUGUUUGUGUGGUGUUACUGUGCCUCAGCUCAUGAGGAUUCCCCCAACAUAGUUAAAAAGUGGUUCUUAUGUUAAAGACAUUGUUUAUUUUUGAGUGGUAUUCUAUACCACAUUUCAUUCACCUGAAAAAGUGAAAUAAAAAACAAGGGGAGAAUAAU